rnacentral:rRNA from 1 species
UUAUAUGGUCAAGAAGAGAAGCGCAAACGGUGGAUGCCUUGGCAGUAAGAGGCGAAGAAGGACGUGGAAUCCUGCGAAAAGCUAUGGGGAGCUGGAAACGAGCGUUGAGCCAUAGAUGUCCGAAUGGGGGAACCCGGCUGCAGCGAUGCGGUCAUUUGCAUUUGAAUACAUAGGAUGCAAAGGCGAACUCGGGGAACUGAAACAUCUAAGUACCCGAAGGAAAAGAAAUCAAGAGAGAUUCUCCAAGUAGCGGCGAGCGAACGGGGAGGAGCCUGGCGUGAUUUAUUAUUGAACUGAGUAGAACAAUUUGGGAAAGUUGGCGAUAGAGGGUGAAAGCCCCGUAUACGA